CACAAACACGGAAACGAUGCAAAUAUACUAUUUGCGUCGCAUGUAACAAUGAAUCGACGCAUAAGACGAACUAUGUGCGUCGUAUCUAAAUAUUGUGCGAUGCAAAUCAUCUAUGUGCGUCGCAUGAAGGUCAUGGUGCGACGCACAAAACAAAGUAAUCUGCGUCGGACCCCUUAGCCCAUCCGACGCAGAUCAGCCCAAAAGCCCAAUUUAUUUCUAACCCCAUAACCAGCGCCCCUCUUAACAUUACUCAAAACCCUAAAGCUUCUCAAAACCAACCCGCCUCCCUUUCGUCCCUCUCAACCCGCCUCCCUCUCUUUCUCUCUCCCUUUCGUCCCUCUCAACCCGCCUCCCUCUCUUUCUCUCUCACUUUCGUCCCUCUCUUUGUCUCUCACUUUCGUCCGACGAUCUGCUUCAGUUCCCAUCAACCGACGAUCGAAACUUCGACGCCAUGACCUUCAGUGAGCGAUCUUCAGCGUCGACGACACCAAUAACAGCAACAACACUUCGAACAACUAACGAAUCUUCAGCGGACGAACGAAUCUUCAGAAUUCAGAUCUUGUUUGAAGACCUCGUUUUUUCAUUUCCGUGAAUUUUUCGAAGAACUCAUUUUUUCAUCCUAAAAUCUCCAGAUGUGUUCGAAGUAUAACAACGAGAAGGAAGAUCAAGAUGUGAAGGAAGCUCCAACAUUUUUUUUACUAUUAUUGAUAGAUUUGUUUUUAUGAAUUAUUGUAAUAUAUAUGUUCUAAAAUUCGAAGCAUUUUCGUUUUUAUUUUUCCAGAUCUGGUCGAAUUUUUGUACAGUAUUGUUAUUAGUUUUAUUUGAUUUUCAAUCCUCUAUCUCUUA